rnacentral:tRNA from 1 species
UCUCUGUUAGUAUAUCGGUUAGUACACGCGCCUGUCAUGAAACCUACUGACCGCGCGAAAGCUGGGUUCGACUCCCAGACAGAGAG